CAGUCGCCACGGUAAUGCGUAGGGUCCGAGCGUUGUCCGGAAUUAUUGGGCGUAAAGAGCUCGUAGGCGGUUCGUCGCGUCUGCCGUGAAAUCCUCAGGCUCAACCUGAGGCGUGCGGUGGGUACGGGCGGACUAGAGUGCGGUAGGGGAGAAUGGAACUCCUGGUGUAGCGGUGGAAUGCGCAGAUAUCGGAAGGAACACCUGUGGCGAAAGCGGCUCACUGGACCAUAACUGACGCUGAGGCGCGAAAGCUAGGGGAGCAAACAGGAUUAGAGACCCCGGUAGUCCCUGUCUCUUAUAC
rnacentral:rRNA from 1 species